rnacentral:tRNA from 1 species
GGAUUUUAAGUUAAAUAAACUAUUAACCUUCAAAGUUAAAAUUACCUAAAGUAAAUCUUA